CGGCCGCGUCGACCGGCAGGCUUAACACAUGCAAGUCGAACGGUAGCAGGAGGAAGCUUGCUUUCUUGCUGACGAGUGGCGGACGGGUGAGUAAUGCUUGGGAAUCUGGCUUAUGGAGGGGGAUAACUACGGGAAACUGUAGCUAAUACCGCGUAGUGUCGAGAGACGAAAGUGCGGGACCGCAAGGCCGCAUGCCAUGAGAUGAGCCCAAGUGGGAUUAGGUAGUUGGUGGGGUAAAGGCCUACCAAGCCUGCGAUCUCUAGCUGGUCUGAGAGGAUGGCCAGCCACACUGGAACUGAGACACGGUCCAGACUCCUACGGGAGGCAGCAGUGGGGAAUAUUGCGCAAGUGGGGGGAACCCUGACGCAGCCAUGCCGCGUGAAUGAAGAAGGCCUUCGGUUGUAAGUUCUUUCGGUAUUGAGGAAGGAGUGUAUGUUAAUAGCAUACAUUAAUUGUACGUUAAAUAACAGAAGAAGACACCGGCUAACUCCGUCGCCACGCAGCCGCGGUAAGUACGGAGGGUGCGAGCGUUAACG
rnacentral:rRNA from 1 species